AGGACCUUCUCUGUUGUCUGAAAUUUGUACCCAAGUGAGCAGCUGUACUGAAGAACAUUGAACGUUUUGCAGUGCAUCUAACUAACCUGACCUCACAAGUGCUGAUUUGUAGGUCUGCUCUGAAAUUAGAAGUUGGCUUUAUCUGAAGACCUUGUGUAAAAUUGCUUGGUGCCUUUCGAAAGAUUUCACUCAGGGCAAGAAAGUUCAGUGAUCAUCAAGUUGCGGUACCUCAUGUCGAUGCGAAGUGGAGAGAAGACCCGAGUAGGGCUAGUGGUUGUUGCUUUGCAAUUAAUCUUAUUCAAAAGUCCCUCUGCCUCUGACAUGGCAAUUGAUAAUUCAAGUUCUUUUGUUGUUGUGAACAAAGUUGAACGAUGAUGGCACGUGAAAACGGUUUAGGCCAACACAUGUCGCAGUGAAAUGUGGACCGGACGGUAUUUGAACCUUGGUGAACUGAUGGUUAUCAAUUGUAAUAUUUCUUUCUAGUUUA